rnacentral:lncRNA from 1 species
AUGGGCGUGCUUUCGCAGGCACAGUGGCUGCCGCUGGGCCCGAGAGAUGGGUGCUGUCCCGGGCGCCCGCCGCCCUGGCAGGGGCCGAGCACGCUGCAGCUUCACAAGAGCCUCGGCGACGGCUUUGGCUUCACCCUGCGGCAUUUCAUCGUGUACCCCCCAGAGUCGGCUGUGCACUGCAGCCUGAAGGUACGGGACGGAGGCUGGGGGGGGUCCCUCAGGGUGAAGCCCGCGGCCCCAGCAAAGGCUGCAGGGCUGGGACCACCGUGGACUGGUUCCUCCCAGGAGGCGGGAGUGGCUGGUUCAGGGCAGGGCACCUGGAGGUGGGAGGCCGGCGACCUCCUGGAAAGUGAGCAGCCUCCCUGUCCCCUGGUGGCUUCAGCUGGGUCUGCUGCCCCAAUCCGCAGCGGUCACACUCUCCUCCCAGUGUGCCCCGGGCCCCGGGUGGGGCAGAGGACCCCCAGUCCUGGGACCGGUCCCAAGGCACCUGGGCUUGGGGCCAUCCCCCCGCCUCUGGCACCAUUUCUGCUGUGCCCUGGGUGCCUUGAGAAAGCCCUUCUGGUGCUAGGAUAAACGCCAGGCUCUCCAGGCCGAUGAACCUGGCUCCUCACCCGGCCCACGCAGGCUGUGGGUUGGGGUCAGAGCCAAGGGGAGCACAGGGUGGGGGUCAGACAGAAGGGGCCAGACGGCGAUCGGAGCCCCCAUGAGGUCCCGUCCCGCUUUCUUCCUGCAAGGGAGGAGAUGGUAUGUUGGGGUCCGCAGGCCCUCUCUCCCCUUCCUCCAGCGCUAGAAUCAGCCUGCCACAGCUGUUGGGCUUCUCCCAGCGGUGCAGGGACCUCGGUCCCACCUGCCAGAGAAGCAAAGCACUGGGUCUCAUGGCCUUGUCUGUGUGCUUUGGAUGACAUGCCGGGCACAGGCGUGCACACGUGCGGCUCUGUAAACAAGCGUGUGUCACAGCGGCGGGUGCCACUGUCACUGGCUCCAGCUGUGCUUAAGAGUGGAAGUGGUGCGUGGCCCUGUCCCACCCUGUGCCCAAGGACACCAGCCCCUCGGACCCAGGACUCCCUUCCCCUCUUCCCUCCCGCCCUCCCUCC